rnacentral:rRNA from 1 species
UACGGAGGGUGCAAGCGUUGUCCGGAAUCACUGGGCGUAAAGGGCGCGUAGGCGGCUCAUGAAGGCUGUGGUGAAAGUCCGGGGCUCAACCUCGGAUCGGCCGUGGCGACUCGUGGGCUGGAGCACUGUAGAGGCGGGUGGAAUUCCGGGUGUAGCGGUGGAAUGCGUAGAGAUCCGGAAGAACACCAGUGGCGAAGGCGGCCCGCUGGGCAGUGGCUGACGCUGAGGGCGCGACAGCGUGGGGGAGCAAACAGG